UGGAAUCUGACAGGAAGAUCUCAAGGUUUAGUGCAAUAUUAAUUUCUUUUUUAAAGCUGAAGCCGUCUGAAAACAAAUAUGGAUUUGAAUGAUAUGUGAAGUAGCCAAAUACCUAUCCUGAAAGCAUUCCAGUCAGUAUGUUUUCAAGGGAACGCAUACACAGAUUGAACCAAUGGAGAAAGUAACAAGCUAGAAUCAGUGCAACUGGAAAACUUCAUAUGCUCUUGAUGUUUUCAGGAAUAUGAGAAUCUGCAUUAGUAGCCUUGAAUAAAGUCAGAAGCAAAAAAGCUGAGCUAUUCAGUAGUGACACCAUGCACUGUAAAUGGAAAACAGAUAUGAAAAUGAAGUCCAUCCGGAGAUACAAGAAAGUAAAGAAACAAGUGAUUUUCAGGUCACUGAUGAGUGCUUGACCUGUGAGGGGAAAAUGCAUAUCUUCAGGUCACUAGCUUUCAGAUGAGGCCAUCUGCUUCAAAUUGGUGGGAAAAAAAUGGCAGUCUCCUGCUGAAAAUUAAUAAAUUGAUUCAGACAUGCUCCGGAAAUUGUACU
rnacentral:lncRNA from 1 species